AAUCUUUGUUGUGGGCAUUGGCGAAGUAAACCCUUGUAUCGUUCCCAAGCCUUUGAAUAACAUUCUGAGUAAAUUUGCUGAAAAGUAGUGAUCUCGUCCCUUAGCUU
rnacentral:snoRNA from 1 species